UGGGGAAUAUUGGACAAUGGGCGAAAGCCUGAUCCAGCCAUGCCGCGUGUGUGAUGAAGGCCUUCGGGUUGUAAAGCACUUUCGCACGUGACGAUGAUGACGGUAACGUGAGAAGAAGCCCCGGCUAACUUCGUGCCAGCAGCCGCGGUAAUACGAAGGGGGCAAGCGUUGUUCGGAAUUACUGGGCGUAAAGGGCGCGUAGGCGGUGCUCUAAGUCAGGCGUGAAAGCCCUGGGCUCAACCCGGGAAUUGCGCUUGAUACUGGGGCGCUUGAAUCCAGGAGAGGUUGGUGGAAUUCCCAGUGUAGAGGUGAAAUUCGUAGAGAUUGGGAAGAACACCGGUGGCGAAGGCGGCCAACUGGACUGGUAUUGACGCUGAGGCGCGAAAGCGUGGGGAGCAAAGCAGGAUUAGAUACCC
rnacentral:rRNA from 1 species